ACCAUAGAGAAAGAUACGAUAUAUAUCGGCUGGAUUUACCGUGUAUGAGCUGGACUGUUUGGACUUACCUGUUGGCAUUUGGACCUGGACCUACCGAGAACCCAAUUCCUGUACCGAACCCUGCUAUCUUUGACCUUGUCUGCGGCCUGGGUGGAUCAGGAUAUAGAAACAAACACACAGGUGGUUUGUUAUCCAUGGUGCUGUGGAUGCUUACAGCAGGCUUGUGUUUCUAAAGGCCCCUGGCAACAGGAGUGCCACAGUCAUGGAGUCAUUUGAAGCAGCCAUCACCAGCUAUGGAGUACUAUCCCGGGUGAGAUGUCAUCGGGGUGGUGCAAACAACCACAUCGGUGCCUUCAUGGAGCAGUUCAGGGAUGGUGAGAGGGGAAGUGCCCUCAGGAAGGAGCACUCGCAACCAGAGCAUAGAGCUGCUGUGGGGGGACGUCUGGCAUGGAGUCUCCAACGUUUACAAUUCUUGGAGUUCACCUUCUGUCACAGGCGUAAAGAGAUCUGUUGUGCCAGUCAGUGGAACCACCAUGGGCUGAGGACUGAACAAUGGCAGUCAGCUCUGCAGUUGUUCGUAUCGGGUUCCCUGGUAAUUUUGAGCGCCUAUCUGACCCUUGGACUGGAUUUUGUUCGCCCCAGCUUCAACCACAUCACCUCAGCUCCUCCAACCAGCACCCCCACCUCAGCUCCUCUAACCAGCAUCACCUCAGCUCCUCUAACCAGCAUCACUUAAGCUCCUCCAACCAGCACCACCACCUCAGCUCCUCCAACCACUAGCGCCUCAGCUCUUUACUGGUCGGAUGGGGUGAUUGUGCCACAAAUCCAGUUCACCAUCAGCAACACACAGAUGGAACUGUUGCGAACAAUGAAUCCAUUGGAAGGCCCCAGAGGCAGCCUGGGAGUUUAAAUUCUACAGAGGGCUAUGGCAAUUAUAUCUUCAGCGGCACUCGUUCCUUUUGAAUCAGUUAAAUUUUAUAAUACUAACUAAACUGUUUGAGGUAACAUUCCCCCUCUAGGGACCCUGCGUGCCGCAGGGGUCUAAGGCACUGCAUCGCACCGAUCCUGGGCUGUUUCACAACCAGUCGUGCUCGGGAGUCCCAUAGGGCGGGGGCACAAUUGGCCCAGCAUCGUACGGGUUAUAGUGGAGGGUUUGGCUGAGGUAGACAGUCAUUGUAAAUAAGAAUUUGUUCUUAACUGACUUGCCUAGUUAAAUAAACAUUAUGAUUUGGUCUCUAUAAAGGUACUACAGACGUAUCUUAACAAAGAGUGUCAAGGUGUAUGGUCCCUCGGUGGGUUCAGAGAAAUAUCUUUGUGUUGAGGUUACUUGACAACUUGUGCUGAACUGGAGUGGACCUUGACCAGAGUCGAAGCAGUAAGAGACCUGCCCAAAAGCUAAGUACUUCUCCAUUCAACAUAUUCCCCUCCUAUCCAUUUACCUUUGAUUUUGAAUGACCUUAUCACACAUUUCCCUGUUGAGUUGUGGAUUUAUCUACUAUUAUUCAUAGUUUUCUUUGCCAUUACUGUAUUCCUGCGUUUGGAAACCCCUUACACCCUCCUUGACACUCUGUAUGAUUGGGUCUCUAGAAAUGUAUGACAGAUCUUCAACUCUAAACGGAUGGGGCCCAGAGUUUAGACACAGUACAACACAACCCAGGAGAGAGGCCUACUGCAAGCACUGGAUUCGAGCCUUCAGUGUGCCUGCCAGUCGGAGGUCAACCAAACAUUCUGAAUGGACAUUAUUAAAACAGAACUUUACCUUUUUUUAAUGCCCAAUUGGGACUUUUAUAAAUUGUUAAAACAAAUAAUCAUGUAACUUCCUAUAGUUAAAAAAACAUGUAGAUAGGGGUUCUGUUCUGUCCCUGUUACACUUUAUAUCAUGGUGAUUAACAGCAACCUACUAUAUUACAGUUAGUAACAUAACAUUGUAACAUAACAUUGUUGACACAUUGUGGUUGACAUUGUGGGUGCCGGGCUCUCAACCCUGUUCCGGGAGAGCUACCGUCUUGUAGGUUCCCAAAAGGGGAGCUGUCACUUAAUGCAAUGGAUGGGAAGCCUUCUUAUUGCAUGUAGUUCUAAUUAAAUUAUAAUGGCUGAAAUUAAUUUAUUCUUAAAUGUAGGACAUCAAAUUAUCAGAUUUGGAUGAAUUGGCUGUCAUAUGGCAGCAGUACUUCAGUCAAUAUCAGCAAAGGAUUUUGGUUGAGUGUAGUGUUACUAAAAAAACAACCAUAAAACACCAAGACAAACUAUGGACUGUAUCAUUUAAUAUUAGUGAUCAUUAAGUGAACAAUAACAGCCAAUAUGGAAAUACAGUGCAUUUGGAAAGUAUUCAGACCCCUUGACUUUUUACGCAUUUUGUUACAUCAGAGCCUUAUUCUAAAAUGUAUUAAAUAAAUAUGUAGCGUCAUACCUAAGACUUGAUUGUGUAAUUGCUGCCGAAGAUGCUUCAGCAAAGUACUGAGUAAAGGGUCUGAAUACUUCAAUUUUUUUAAUACAAUAUAGAUUUGCAAAAAUGUGAACCUGUUUUUGCUAUGUCAUUAUGGGGUAUUAUGUGUAGAUUGAGGGGGCAAAAAAUAUUAUAUCCAUUUUAGAAUAAGGCUGUAACGUAAGAAAGUCAAGGGGUCUGAAUACUUUCCGAAUGCUCUGUACUAACAAUACAGAGAUGUAAGUAGAUAAAUGUUGAUGUGCAGUUACAUUUUCAAACACUCAAUUGCUACUGUAGUUUAGUGCUACUAGAUACAAUUCUGUGUUGUAGAAAUGUUGUAAUGCAACACAAAAAUGUGGGGAAUUCACAAUCCCUGGAGGUCAUGAAGUCAUUGUAGGUGCUAUGAAGAGGGAGCCUUAGUUUCUCAGCACACAUGUUUGCCUCUGGGUACUUUUUCUUCUACUGCCCAGAGAGACAUCUUCGCGCUGUGUGGAGGAAUUUGAUGGUCGGGGUGUCCUCAAACCCCAGGGGUGGCACCACUGUUGCUCCAGUAGCAAACUCCAACACCAUUUCCACUGUGAGAGGAGGGCAUUUUAAAAUGCACAUUUUAAAUCACAAAAUGGAAUAAUAUGCAGUUAGCGAUUUUAAACUUGAACAUUUUAACUACUAUCUUACAUUGUACCUCUGGCAGCCAGUUGAACCAGUGGUAGAUGGUGUCGUUCUCCAAACACUACUGGUUCCCGCCAUGUAUGGAAUGGGUUACUUUAAACAGGUCCCUGGCAGUGGGAGGCUUUGUGGAAUGUCAUGACGUUGCACCCUU